AACCUUCUGUAUCCGUGUUGAGAUUUCGUCAGCGAUCAACCCGCUAGAACUGACUGAUACAACUCCCCAGAUAAGUGAACUG
rnacentral:pre_miRNA from 1 species